rnacentral:rRNA from 1 species
CAGUCGCCACGGUAAUACGGAGGGUGCAAGCGUUAAUCGGAAUUACUGGGCGUAAAGCGCACGCGGGCGGUUUGUUAAGUCAGAUGUGAAAUCCCCGAGCUUAACUUGGGAACUGCAUUUGAAACUGGCAAGCUAGAGUCUUGUAGAGGGGGGUAGAAUUCCAGGUGUAGCGGUGAAAUGCGUUGAGAUCUGGAGGAAUACCGGUGGCGAAGGCGGCCCCCUGGACAAAGACUGACGCUCAGGUGCGAAAGCGUGGGGAGCAAACAGGAUUAGAGACCCGAGUAGUCCCUGUCUCUUAUAC